GGAAAUAGGACGUUCUUGAGACUUGAAGAGCCUUUGAUGCAAAAUGCAUAAAAUACUUUACAUCUGGUAUGCUGCUAUCUAUGUUGCGUCCCUUGAAGCUUCCAGCGAUGAAACGUUACCUUCAGCUUUCUAUCAACCUGGACCUGGUGUCAUAGUAAAGACAUGGAACUCUGCCAAAUACUACGAUAUCGGCAACUUCACAGGUAUUAGGAAAUUUCCAAACUGCCCAAACAAUAUCGAAAACAUAAACAACUUUGAAUACAGUCAACAAAAUAUUGUAAAAAGGCAUCAAUAUGGGCUAUACCAAGCCAUAUUUGCCUCUACACAAAGUGGUAAGCACAGGUUUUUUGCUACAUGCAAAAUGAAAUGUCGGGUGUUCAUUGACACAAACCUGCCAACUCCAGUGAAAAUAUUGGAUAUCACUAGCAAGGCAAGGACUGCUUUGACUAGUCACUCCAAAUUACUCGUCGAUCUGCUACAGGGAUUCCGAUACCAAAUUACAGUCUAUCACUAUGGAAACGAGACACACCCAGGUUUCUUUCAGCUUGGCGUGCAAUUUCCAAAUUCAACAGAAUUGAUUCCAAUAGGCAAAGAAUUUUUUACAUCGGUCAAUGGGUACGUAAAAUUUAACUAAUGAAAGCGGAGAAUAUAAUACGUAUUUAAGGGGCUUAAACGUCUUUGGGAAGGGGGGAUUGCUAAACAUGUUAAAAAUCAACAACAGGGCAAUUUUUUGUAUGGUUUUCAGUGCAUUUGGGAAAUCAUUGGGAAAGUCUCCCCCGCUUCUACGGUCCCUGAUAUUAACUUCAGCCAUUAAGUAAAACACUGUUAUGUACAGCUAGAUUUUUCAUCCUAUAGAAUAAUAAUAAUAAUAAUAAAACACGAAUGUUUAUACAGGAAUAACCUAUCAGUAUGACAAGCAUACUGUUAUCAUUAGGGUCCUGUGCGUAAGGUACAAACUAAAAGGAUUAAAUUAAGCUAGCUAAAAAUUCAUAUAAUUAAAUAAAAUCAUGUACUUGUGUUCUGAAUAAAACCCUAGAGUCUAAUUUUCUUGCUGAAAUAGGAAUGUUGUUGUAAACAUGCGCAGCAGCCACAGAAAAACUUUUACGACCAAAUUCAGUUUUCAUCUGGUUAUUUAAAAGUCAUUGGUUUACAUGACGUGCAGUCAGCGUUCAAUUCCUAGCAAAGCUCCUUGGCAAAUCAAAUGACUGUGCUUAGCUUUUCUAAAGCAUCCCCUCUAAGAUCUAAGGUAAUUUUGAUUUUCUAUUAAACCCCAUCUCACUUUUAUGAGAAAACCGGUAUUGUUUGUUGCCACAUUGGAAAUUUGAUUUCGGGUUCAAAGAUGUUAAACAGUGAGUGUGAUAGGUGAUCAGCGAAACCGGAGCAAAUUUGGAGCUUUUAAUGAAUUUUUAAUAAAGUAAAGUAAUACCAAUCAAAUGGAUAAAGUUUUUUGCAAAUUCUUCGAAAAGGUGGUUGGAAGAUUUUUAAUGAGAAAAAUGAUGAUAAUUUACAGUAAACAAAAAAAGACUUUUCGUUUCAUUGAGUUAAUUCAAAUUAGAUACAUUUAUCGUGUACACUCUUUCUUUUAUAAGAACCAGUAAAUUUAAGUUCAGGCUGACUGUUCUUAAUUUUUUCGAAAAUCUGAGGCUGGAUUGUUCUUAAUUUGUUCUUGAAUUAAG